rnacentral:rRNA from 1 species
UAGGGAAUCUUCGGCAAUGGGGGGAACCCUGACCGAGCAACGCCGCGUGAGUGAAGAAGGUUUUCGGAUCGUAAAGCUCUGUUGUUAAGGAAGAACGAGUGUGAGAAUGGAAAGUUCAUACUGUGACGGUACUUAACCAGAAAGGGACGGCUAACUACGUGCCAGCAGCCGCGGUAAUACGUAGGUCCCGAGCGUUGUCCGGAUUUAUUGGGCGUAAAGCGAGCGCAGGCGGUUAGAUAAGUCUGAAGUGAAAGGCAGUGGCUCAACCAUUGUAGGCUUUGGAAACUGUUUAACUUGAGUGCAGAAGGGGAGAGUGGAAUUCCAUGUGUAGCGGUGAAAUGCGUAGAUAUAUGGUGGAACACCGGUGGCGAAAGCGGCUCUCUGGUCUGUAACUGACGCUGAGGCUCGAAAGCGUGGGGAGCGAACAGG